UAGGUGUCUCGUUAGGUGAGGCUCCAUCGCGAACAUAGGCCACUCAUCUGACGACAUCGAGAGAUGCCCAAGAUGAGGACAAAUCCUCCCGGCUUAAGGGUUGAUUCCAAGUGGCUUCCUACGUUUGGCGUAGGACACGUCGCGGUGUGUCAAAGCUCUUACGUGGACGCGCCAC
rnacentral:sRNA from 20 species